GACAGAGGUGCCGAGCGUUAGGCGGAAUCACUGGGCUUAAAGCGUGUGUAGGCGGGCGGGCAAGUACCUUGUGAAAUCCCACGGCUCAACCGUGGAACGGCUGGGUAUACUGCCUGUCUUGAGCCAACUAGGGGCGAGCGGAACAGACGGUGGAGCGGUGAAAUGCGUAGAUAUCGUCUGGAACGCCGAAGGUGAAAACAGCUCGCUGGGGUUGUGCUGACGCUGAGACACGAAAGCGCGGGGAGCGAACGGG
rnacentral:rRNA from 1 species